rnacentral:rRNA from 1 species
GGGCAGUCGGUGCGGGGGGGCGCGGUAAGACGGAGGGGGUGAGUGUGGUUCGGGAUGACUGGGCGUAAAGGGCGCGUAGGCGGCCGUGUAGGGCGGGUGGGAAAGCCCGGGGCUCAACCCCGGAACGGCAACCGAGACUGCGGGGCUCGAGACCGGGAGAGGAGGGUGGAAUACCCAGUGUAGAGGUGAAAUUCGUAGAUAUUGGGUGGAACACCGGUGGCGAAAGCGGCUCUCUGGCCCGGUUCUGACGCUGAGGCGCGAAAGCGUGGGGAGCAAACAGGAUUAGAUACCCCAGUAGUC